rnacentral:ncRNA from 2 species
UACUAUCUAACUGGACAAGGAAUCCUGUGAAAAUCAGGAGCUGUGCCGCAACCGUGGUUCGACGAUGCUCACCAUCUUCGAUAAGCCGGAAAACUAGCAGCUUCUAAUUAUUCCGA